CCCGUUGCAACUUGCAAAGAGCCUGUAAAUUUACCUUAAACCUUCUUUUUUUUUCCUAGCCAAUGGUGUCAGGGGCCGGCUAGCCUGUCCCUCCAGAGCAUUAACCCUUGUCGCUAGCUGGAGUGAGUGAGAAGCUGAGGUUUGGCCCUGAGGAGCCGUGUGUGUAGAUCUGGCACAGCUUUGCUCCCUUAACUCCUGGAUCUUUGUUUUGGUGGCGACCAGGGAGAGCAGGGAGCGCUGUGCUCGCAUUUCCCUCUGGCUUUUACACACGCACACACACGCACACACACAAAUCCCCUUUUCCAACUUUCUGCUUUUUGCGCUUCCCUUCCAGUUUUUUCACUUCUCAGACCUACUGGCAGCAUUUGCCGAGAUCUAGAUCCCCGUCGUGGGACCUUGGAGUUUCUGGCAGAUAUUCCUCAGGCUGGAAUCCAGACAGCUUGUCUGAGCACGGAGAAACUACUCGCCUUCAGUCCUCAAAAUAUUAGCAAAAGACACUGUGUUUGCUGCUCCUUGGAUAAAAGCAUCCCUAAUGGUUCAUCUCCUCCCAAGGUCAGCCUUGCACUGCCAGUUCCAGGAAUUUGGUAGGUGCAUAAUGGCUUUCUCCAUGUGCUACUCACAGCAAAGUCAGGGGUGAAUGGUGAGUAAUUAAACUCUGAGGAGGGAGGGAUUUGAAAGGCCACAUUGUCAACUGGGAGAGCUUAUUAAAA
rnacentral:lncRNA from 1 species